UCCAGCAAAAAGCGACCAAGAAGCUGUAAGCUUAUACCUGAGCAUGUUGGGCUAUGAAUAACAGAUCUCCAAGUACCCACGAGCUCCACCUGAAUGCCUGAUCCUCUCAAAGAAGACCAAAGGCUAAAAUACUAUAGCUCUGUCCAGGGGGGAGGGGAGUGAACUAGCCAUUGAUGAAUUCCAUUGACCUUACUUCCUCUUUGGAUUUGCCUUUCAUCAGGUCUUGGCUGUUCUUCCACAGUAGGACCUCUCCACCACAUAGGUAAAGCCACCACAUCUGGCUUAGCCAUAUCUGUAUAGCACCACCUUCUUUUGCCAGGGACAUCUGAGGACACGAAGUAUCCGACCUGUACUGAAUCCAGGCUGAGAGACUCGCCUGGCUUCUGCUCUGUGCCAUGGUGUUUCAUGUUCCUUUGCAAAGUGGGCCAAGAUAGAGUCACCUAUGUUUCCCAGCUCAGCUCACACUUUGCAGCUCAGAGCAAACAUUGUGAACAUCCCUACCUCCCCACCCUACCCACCCCCCCAUGGUCUCCUAAAUUUCUGACCACUGAUGAAUCAGUUAUCAUUGACGACAGCACAGCGGUGCCGGUCGUUAUAAGAUUAUUUAAAUAAAUCACGAUUCGUUUGCACAAGGGGUAUGUAAAUAGCCACUACAGACUAUAUUAUAGAAGAACUGGCCUGGACAGUAUUUCACACUAUGCUUUCAAAUAAUGAAACAGAAUAUUCUAUAUUGCCCCUUUCGGUAAAGGAAAUAUACAGAAAUGUUAUCACUGAUUACUUUUAUCUGGUAGAAUUGCACAUGUGUGUUUGUUAUUGCCUGCAAAGAGUUUAUAUUGUUUCUGUGACAGGAAAAAGUUCUACUGUUUUUUUUUUUUUUUUA